rnacentral:lncRNA from 1 species
CUUAACUUUUGGCUACACACGGCUGGUGGUGCGGCGACUCAACCUGUCAGCCAGGCCAGCCGCUGUGAAAAUUAUUAUCCAUUCUCAUAUUUUCCUAGACAAUGAGAAACUAUUUUUUAGCAGAAGUGUAGUACCGUUUUGACGCUUGCCCUCCUUUAAAUUUAUGCUACUCUCUUUAAGCUUUCUCGUUUAGAAUGCCACCUAAAAAGUUGCAAGCGAGGAAGCGAGCCCUUCGAAC